UUGAAUCGAGGUGAGCGCGGCUGUCGUGGUGGGGGAACCUGGGAUGAGGGAUUUGUCGCUUCUCGGUGCGCUCGAGCCGCUAAUUGUUAGUUACAAAUUGAACAUUUCCCAAAAAUUGUCGUACAACGAUUAUUUUUUUCAAAUAAGCUUGUUUUUUCCGUAAAAUCCAAAUAACCAGCUGGAAUUUGAUUUUUGCGCCACUUACCGUUUUUAUAUCUCUGUUUUUCGAAGUAAGUUCACACAAUGGCUGUAAAUGAACAAUAAUUCGGCUAUUCCUUAAUGUUAUGGCGAAUUUACGGAUUUUCGGAGAACGGUUCUUACCGCAAAGGUAUUAUACCUAGCCCAGUCGAGUUUGUGGGUACUCUUGGGGGAAACUUCAUACAGGAUGUGGGUGAAUCUUACAACCUUAAGUUGAAAAUUCGAAGAGUAACUCACAAAAAACGAAAAACGAACUCGCGGUUUUUUUCGUUUUGCGACAAAAUCAAUGAAAAUACAUGAAUUGUUACAAAGACCUACUUUUCAGAGAGCGACGAGACGGGCAACUUUUAUCUGAAGCAUUUUGUUGUAAGACUCAUUUCACAAAAGAUAUAUGGCUCGAAGUGGGUUUCCAAAUGUUGAACAAUUUUUUGCCGCCAAACCCGGACCUAGUUUUCAAAGACAACUUAGGGGUAUGUUCGUGGGGCUGGAAUGAGCUUGUGAAAAAAUCGGCCAACCUAUAUCCCGCCGAAGCAAAGCGGAUUGCUAAUAUGACUGAACUAAUAGGGGCAUCUGCUGUAACGCUGCUGCUAGGGUUAUUCGAUCUAUAUCUACACUCGACGAUUCGAUAUGCGGUUUAGGUUUGAUUUGGGUUUAACGCGUUCGGUAAACAGGCGAGUGUUCAGCGUUAACAUGGCCGCGCCGUGGAGCUGCAUGCUCGGCUCGCAUAUUCGCUUUCAUAUUGCCAAACAGCAAUAAUCUGCGUCGAGAUUUUUCCAAACGGACAACAGGAUUAGCGUACAGAGGGCCCUGGUCCGUUAUUCGGUGCCUUUUCUGUGAACGCUGACCAUGCUGACCCGAGUCUCCGUCAGCAAUAGAUGCCACACAACUAUGGAAAAAUAAGCGGUGGUGGGGGUCGCUGGGACAGCCUCAACCUUCAUGACCCGCGGUAUGAUCAUAGGAAACCUAGAGAAAACCGAGGGAAAGCAGCGAUGCGAAGAAAAUCAUAUAAAUUACACAAAAUUGUAUAAAUAAAUGAAGGAAUAAAUACUUCCGAAAAAUUAAACAUAUUAAUAAAAAACCAAAA